rnacentral:lncRNA from 1 species
UAAAAUCAAUUAUCAAACUACAAAACACCAAGGCUUACUACUGCCAUCUUAAUUCAAUACAUAAUCCAUUCUAUAACUAUGAAUUCAAUAAUACUUCUAUAUUCUUAUCAAUUCAUCUCUCACUUACUUUCUUUGCAAUUUGUAUAUAUUCAAUUACUAAUCUCCAGCUUAUUUAUUAUAUUUAGUUUCUCAAUUCAUCACACAGAAUUCAAUAUCUUUACUUAACCUAACACAAUUCAAUAAUCUCAAUUCUCAAGGUCACAGAUUUUUUCCAAAAUGGUCAGUCCAAAGUCAUAUUCUAUAAUAUUCUAAUUACAGUUUCAACAAUACUUCUCUCAAUCACAAUUCUUCAUAAGC